UUACUUUGGAAUUCGAUAUUUCGGUUUAAACCGAAAUAUUAUAUUUUAAUUUAUAAAUUAUAGUAUAUUUAAUAAUUAUUAAUAUUAAAUAAUUUUUUUAAAAAAAAUAAAAAACCCUAAAUCCCUAAUACCCUAUCCUCUUCACUCUUCAGCACAACUUCUUCAACUUCAUCCUCUCUCUUCAACUUCAUCCUCUCCUCUUCACUCUUCAGCACAACUUCUGCCUUCUUUUCUCCUCUUCCUCUUUUACUCCAGCCGGCGUCCACCGCCACCAUUAGCAGCGCCGCCAGCCGCCGUCCUCGAGCAGCAGCCAGCUGCAGCAGCCGCCCGCGAGCCGCGGCAGCAGGUAGCAGCAGCCAGCAGGUCAGCCGCAGCCAGCCGCCGGCGACAGCAGGUCAGCAGCAGCCAGCCACCAGCCAACCCAGGUGCAGAUGGCUGAACAAACAGAAUUAAAUAUGGGUGUAGCUGAUCAAAGUCGAAUAAGUAUGGCUGAUUCUACGGAUAAUACACCUACUAAUAGCAAUGAUUUGUCGAUUGGUACAGAAAUAACAAAAAAAAGAAAAGAAAUGGAUCCUAGGUCUCUUGUUUGGCAACACUUUGAAAAGGUUUUUGAAAA